CACACAUUGACACACACACGCAUACAUAAUUUUAGUAUGAGAAAACCAACAGCAGCACUAGCUAUGUGAUUAUGCGAAGUUAGAUCUCCAUCGGGGGAUAAGACAUGGAGUCGGCCGACUACCACGCAUUAGUUAUUGCUACUGACCAGCAUUAGUUGUUGACUCUCCAGCAUACCUUCUUGAUCUCUGCACCUUGCUGGUCUCCCAUGGUCUUGACCCCGAU
rnacentral:lncRNA from 1 species